rnacentral:lncRNA from 1 species
UUUUUUUUUAAAGAUAUCAUGUUUUAUAGGAAGGGGCCCUGAAUUCAUGUAAUGUCCCAAUGAUUGGUCCAUGCAGUCAUUCACAUUUCCCAUCAGAACAGGUGUCUGACAACAGACAUGGGAAAGAGAAGUAAAGAAGAAAUACUACACAACUUGGCAUCCUUCUUGGAGAGAUAAGCACAAGUUAACUCUGGCCAACCAAGCAGAGAGUAAAAAAAAGGGGUGGGGGGGUUGAAGGAAAGCUUGGAUUAAACUAUAUGACUACUUGGAGAAUUUUUUUGUAUGCUCCGAGUUGCUUCAGGUUUCCAUUCCAAACAUCAUUCCAAGUCAAGCAGACAGAACAUUGCUUAAGUUAUAUAACUGUGUAUGAGUUUUCUUUUUUUUAUUUUUAUUUUUAUUUUUUUUAAUUGGUUGUUCAAAACAUUACAAAGCUCAUGACAUAUCAUCUUCCAUACAUUUGAUUCAAGUGGGUUAUGAACUCCCAUUUUUUACCCCAAAUAAAAGUUGCAGAAUCACAUCGGUUACACAUCCACACUUUUACAUAAUACCAUAUUAAUGACUGUUGUAUUCUGCUACCUUUCCUAUGUGUAUGAGUUUUCUAAAGCUGGAGUGCUUCUGUUCAGAGUCCUUUCAGAAUUUGCAUUUCAGUGUCUUUGUAAGUCCAGAAAAAAGGUCCCUACAAAUUGGAAUUUGUACUUGGGCAUCUCCUGGAUCAAAGCUGGUUCUGAUCUAAUCACACUGAAAUAAAAUCAUUCAGAAGUCAGGAACAAAAAUAACACACACAAAACUAUGUUUUGUUAGUGCUGAAAAGUCAAUUGUAAUUAUUAUUUUGCAAUAUAUGGCUAAGUAAAUCUGUUAACAUUUCUCUCUCUCUCUUUCUCUCUCUCUCUCUCUCUCUCUCUCUCUCUCGUUGUUGUUAUUUGGGCCCUUAUUCCCUUGAGGUUAAAUUUUAUUCUAGCUCUAGCACAUUCUUCAAAAUUUAUUUUAACAUGUAAAAUUUCCUAGGUUUAUUUGUGCAAAACGUUUACCUUAAUGUCUGACAUAUUUUGUUAUAUGCUGACUAUAGUUGUUCUUUCCCUAUCAUAUCUUUUCAUCUAGUCAAUUUUGAGAUUGAUUCUCAACUUAGGAGUUUUAAAAUGUCAUUGCAAUAUAAAAAUCCUUCUCAGUACUCAUAGUCAACUUUUAAGUAGAGAAUAAUUGCUUUUUCAAUUCUGGAAAUAUGUUUGUUCCUAUCUUUGCUAAUUUGGCUCUGCUUCCACUUCUUUCACUCUUGGAUUCUGAAAUUCCAAGUGAAGUUUAGCCAACGUCUUUGAGUUGGUUCCCU